UACGGAGGGGACUAGCGUUGAUCGGACUUACUGGGCGUAAAGCGCACGUAGGCGGAUUUGUAAGUCAGGGGUGAAAUCCCGGGGCUCAACCUCGGAACUGCCUUUGAUACUGCAAAUCUCGAGUCCGGAAGAGGUGAGUGGAAUUCCUAGUGUAGAGGUGAAAUUCGUAGAUAUUAGGAAGAACACCAGUGGCGAAGGCGGCUCACUGGUCCGGUACUGACGCUGAGGUGCGAAAGCGUGGGGAGCAAACAGG
rnacentral:rRNA from 1 species